GGGAUUGCCUCAGUAUCGGCGAUUGAAGCGGCAAAAGCUCAAAUUUGAAAUCUACGCACUUUCAGUGUUCGAGUUGUAAUUUGAAGAAGGUAACUUUGGUUUUGGCUCUUGUCUAUGUUCCUUGGAACAGGACGUCACAGAGGGUGAGAAUCCCGUGCGAUGAGAUGCCCAAUUCCAUGUAAAGUGCUUUCGAAGAGUCGAGUUGUUUGGGAAUGCAGCUCUAAGUGGGUGGUAAAUUCCAUCUAAAGCUAAAUAUUGGCGAGAGACCGAUAGCGAACAAGUACAGUGAUGGAAAGAUGAAAAGAACUUUGAAAAGAGAGUGAAAAAGUACGUGAAAUUGUUGAAAGGGAAGGGCUUGAGAUCAGACUUGGUAUUUUGCGUUCCCUUCCUUUUUGGUUGGGUUCCUCGCAGUUUACUGGGCCA
rnacentral:rRNA from 1 species